GGGGGCGAAAUAGGAUCGACGUGCCUAAUAAAAAGAUUGCUUUUACUCGGGAUGAUUCCGCCGAUGGCUUUUGCCAUAUGGGUCAAAACAAAGAAACGCAAACGAUAAUAAUCGUUCUGUAGGUCGUUUAGCUUUAGCAGCUUAACCCUACGCGGCUGGAGGGUGUGCCGGGCAACAGAAAAACCCUCACU
rnacentral:tmRNA from 1 species